rnacentral:rRNA from 1 species
AACGAACGCUGGCGGCAUGCCUAACACAUGCAAGUCGAACGAGACCUUCGGGUCUAGUGGCGCACGGUUGCGUAACGCGUGGGAACCUGCCCUUAGGUUCGGAAUAACUCCCCGAAAGGGGUGCUAAUACCGGAUAAUGUCUUCUGACCAAAGAUUUAUCGCCUUUGGAUGGUCCCGCGUUGGAUUAGCUAGUUGGUAGGGUAAAAGCCUACCAAGGCGACGAUCCAUAGCUGGUCUGAGAGGAUGAUCAGCCACACUGGGACUGAGACACGGCCCAGAAUCCUACGGGAGGCAGCAGUGGGGAAUAGUGGACAAUGGGCGAAAGCAUGAUCCAGCAAUGACGCGUGAGUGAUGAAGGCAUUAGGGUUGUAAAGCUCUUUUACCCGGGAUGAUAAUGACAGUACCGGGAGAAUAAGCUCCGGCUAACUCCGUG